GGCUGGUCUGAGAGCUGUGGUAUGUACAACUGAUUGAUCAUAGCCAGUUACAGAUUCCUUUGUUGCUUCUCCACUCCCACGGCUUCAUUUGACUAGCCUUAA
rnacentral:Y_RNA from 1 species